rnacentral:rRNA from 1 species
GUUUGAUCCUGGCUCAGGAUGAACGCUAGCGACAGGCUUAACACAUGCAAGUCGAGGGGCAGCAUAGAAGUAGCAAUACUUUGGUGGCGACCGGCGCACGGGUGAGUAACGCGUAUGCAACCUACCUAUCAGAGGGGAAUAACCCGGCGAAAGUCGGACUAAUACCGCAUAAAACAGGGGCACCGCAUGGUGAUAUUUGUUAAAGAAAUUCGCUGAUAGAUGGGCAUGCGUUCCAUUAGGUAGUUGGUGAGGUAACGGCUCACCAAGCCGACGAUGGAUAGGGGAACUGAGAGGUUGGUCCCCCACACUGGUACUGAGACACGGACCAGACUCCUACGGGAGGCAGCAGUGAGGAAUAUUGGUCAAUGGGUGGGAGCCUGAACCAGCCAAGUCGCGUGAAGGAAGAAGGAUCUAUGGUUCGUAAACUUCUUUUGCAGGGGAAUAAAGUGCAGGACGUGUCCUGUUUUGUAUGUACCCUGAGAAUAAGGAUCGGCUAACUCCGUGCCAGCAGCCGCGGUAAUACGGAGGAUCCGAGCGUUAUCCGGAUUUAUUGGGUUUAAAGGGUGCGUAGGUGGUUUGAUAAGUCAGCGGUGAAAGUUUGCAGCUUAACUGUAAAAAUGCCGUUGAAACUGUCGGACUUGAGUGUAAAUGAGGUAGGCGGAAUGCGUGGUGUAGCGGUGAAAUGCAUAGAUAUCACGCAGAAACUCCGAUUGCGAAGGCAGCUUACUAAGCUACAACUGACACUGAAGCACGAAAGCGUGGGGAUCAAACAGGAUUAGAUACCCUGGUAGUCCACGCAGUAAACGAUGAUUACUAGCUGUUUGCGAUACACAGUAAGCGGCACAGCGAAAGCGUUAAGUAAUCCACCUGGGGGAGU